UACAGAGGGUGCAAGCGUUGUUCGGAAUUAUUGGGCGUAAAGCGCGUGUAGGCGGCUUUGCAAGUCGGGUGUGAAAGCCCUCGGCUCAACCGAGGAAGUGCGCCCGAAACUGCAGAGCUUGAGUGCCGGAGAGGGUGGCGGAAUUCCCCAAGUAGAGGUGAAAUUCGUAGAUAUCGGGAGGAACACCGGUGGCGAAGGCGGCGACCUGGGUCGAUACUGACGCUGAGGUGCGAAAGCGUGGGGAGCAAACAGG
rnacentral:rRNA from 1 species